rnacentral:rRNA from 1 species
GACGAACGCUGGCGGCGUGCUUAACACAUGCAAGUCGAACGGGCCUUGUCCCCUUUUUUUUGGGGGUGGGGUUAGUGGCGAACGGGUGAGUAACACGUGAGUAACCUGCCCCUCACUUCUGGAUAACCGCUUGAAAGGGUGGCUAAUACGGGGUGUUCUGGCCUGCUCGCAUGGGUGGGUUUGGAAAGAUUCGACCGGUUUGGUUGUUUUGUUGGGGGAUGGGCUCGCGGCCUAUCAGCUUGUUGGUGGGGUGAUGGCCUGCCAAGGCUUUGACGGGUAGCCGGCCUGAGAGGGUGGGCGGUCACACUGGGACUGAGACACGGCCCAGACUCCUACGGGAGGCAGCAGUGGGGAAUAUUGCACGAGGGGCGCAAGCCUGAUGCAGCGACGCCGCGUGAGGGAUGGAGGCCUUCGGGUUGUGAACCUCUUUCGCCAGUGAAGAAGGUCCUGCUCUUUGUGGUGGGGUUGACGGUAGCUGGGUUAAUGAAGCGCCGGCUAACUACGUG